UCAAGUGUGAACUGAGGUGGUUGUAUGUGACAGGCAGUAAUGGUUCCAAGGGAGAAAAAGUGGGGGAGAUGAUCUAGGCUGUUGGACCGCUUACCUGCAUUUAAAAUAGAGAGAAAGCAUCAGAUGCCCAAAGACCCAUGCAGGAGCAAAGGCCUUUACCUGCUUGCUGGACAGAGCGCAGUGAGAUUUCUGCCAUUGUUUAAGUAGCUUCAUGUUUGGAAAUCCUGCUGCAGCAACAGCUGAGAUCAAGAGUGCAUCGUGCUAGAUACAGGCACUUGCAGAGCUGCCAUAUUCCAAAUGGACAGAAACGAGCACACAUCCAGCAGGAGAAAAGAAGUACCAGAUCAUGAUCAAACAUGUUGGGUUCCUAACCCAGAGUUGGAGUGAGAUUAAGACUCAGAUCCUUAAAGGCACUUAGAGCCCAACUCCCAUUGAAAUCAAUGGGUGUUAGAUACCUAAAUAGCUUUAUGGAUCUGAGCAUAAAUAACUUAUCCAAGGGCAGAGCAGCAAUCUACAGCUGGGUUGGGAAUUAAACACAGAUUUUGCAAGUUACAGUCUGAUUUCUUAAUCACAAAAUCAUCUUUUCUCUCCAUAUUUGUGAAAUAAAUCCCCAGCAUCCACAUCACAACAUGGAUACACAAUGUCUACCCCAUCAAAUAAUGGGAAACCUGCAGUGACAAAAAUGUUUUUCCUCAAAACAAACCCAGUUACAGACACACACAUUUCU